GAUGAACGCUGGCGGCGUGCCUAAUACAUGCAAGUCGAGCGAACAGACGAGGAGCUUGCUCCUCUGACGUUAGCGGCGGACGGGUGAGUAACACGUGGAUAACCUACCUAUAAGACUGGGAUAACUUCGGGAAACCGGAGCUAAUACCGGAUAAUAUAUUGAACCGCAUGGUUCAAUAGUGAAAGACGGUUUUGCUGUCACUUAUAGAUGGAUCCGCGCCGCAUUAGCUAGUUGGUAAGGUAACGGCUUACCAAGGCAACGAUGCGUAGCCGACCUGAGAGGGUGAUAGGCCACACUUGAACUGAGACACGGUCCAGACUCCUACGGGAGGCAGCAGUAGGGAAUCUUCCGCAAUGGGCGAAAGCCUGACGGAGCAACGCCGCGUGAGUGAUGAAGGUCUUCUGAUCGUAAAACUCUGUUAUUAGGGAAGAACAAAUGUGUAAGUAACUAUGCACGUCUUGACGGUACCUAAUCAGAAAGCCACGGCUAACUACGUG
rnacentral:rRNA from 1 species